AUUGAACGCUGGCGGCAGGCUUAACACAUGCAAGUCGAGCGGGGGAAGGUAGCUUGCUACCGGACCUAGCGGCGGACGGGUGAGUAAUGCUUAGGAACCUGCCUAUUAGUGGGGGACAACAUCUCGAAAGGGAUGCUAAUACCGCAUACGUCCUACGGGAGAAAGCAGGGGAUCUUCGGACCUUGCGCUAAUAGAUGAGCCUAAGUCGGAUUAGCUAGUUGGUGGGGUAAAGGCCGACCAAGGCGACGAUCUGUAGCGGGUCCGAGAGAAUGGUCCGCAACACUGGGACUGGUACACGGCCCAGACUCCUAGGGGAUGCAGCAGUGGGGAACAUUGGACAAUGGGGGGAACCCUGAGCCACCCAUGCCGCGUGUGUGAAGAAGGCCUUAUGGUUGUAAAGCACUUUAAGCGAGGAGGAGGCUACUCUAGUUAAUACCUAGGGAUAGUGGACGUUACUCGCAGAAUAAGCACCGGCUAACUCUGUGCCAGCCGCCGCGGUAA
rnacentral:rRNA from 1 species